AGUAUACUUGAUUGAUUGAUGGGGCUUAACGUCCUUGUUCCGGUUAUAACCGAGCCUAGGACUGCCCAGUAUACGAUACACCACCCUGAAUUUAUCCCACUUUUUAACAAUACAAAACUAUAAGGACCAAUCACGACAGAGGAUACACAGGCACGACAGACACUGACGAAAAAGCAAGCGACUACGAACAAUGCACGACAAAAACAUCGACCAGAGACAGCACACGUGAACAGAGGACUAGCAAAGGUCAAGGUGACACAGGUACACAUAGUACAGACACAACAUAUAGGCAUGGCAUAUAGUUAGCGUUAGGCUUAACCCUGUCAGCUUAACCUAUCAGUACAUAUACGAUAACAUCCCCCGCUACACCUGUUCGCCGUGUUUAUGGCGCAAGAUAAAUUUGUGGAAGAAGCCCAGACAUCGGAUUGGGCUUCACAUGACGGGCACAUGAUCGCCAGAUGUUGAUAUGGGUCAACCUGAAUAGACAACGGGUCUUCCGUGAUGCAGUGUCAGGGCCGACCAGAGGUUGAGGUCAACUGCCAGGAAGACAAGUAUAGGGCCAUUUAAUGGUUCAGAAG